GCGGAGACAUUAUCAAGUUACAGCGGAGGCGCUCUCGGGUGUCCUCCUGUCUGCAACCCUUGUCUUUUGCGUACUGUAUGUUUCCUCGGUGGGCUCGCCUGCCGAUAGGACAUUCAUAAACUCUUUGUAAUUGCAAUCAGCGUCAGAAAAACUUAUAAUAGUUACAACUUUCAACAACGGAUCUCUUGGUUCUGGCAUCGAUGAAGAACGCAGCGAAAUGCGAAAAGUAGUGUGAAUUGCAGAAUUCAGUGAAUCAUCGAAUCUUUGAACGCACAUUGCGCCCCUUGGUAUUCCAUGGGGCAUGCCUGUUCGAGCGUCAUUUGUACCUUCAAGCUCUGCUUGGUGUUGGGUGUUUGUCCCGCCGUUGCGCGUGGACUCGCCUCAAAGCAAUUGGCAGCCGGCAUAAGCCUGGGAGCGCAGCACAAUUGUUGCUUCCAUUCUUAGAUGUCGAGCGUCCAGCAAGCCUUUUAUUCUUGCGUUUGACCUCGGAUCAGGUAGGGAUACCCGCUGAACUUAAGCAUAUCAAUAAGCGGAGGAAAAGAAACCAACAGGGAUUGCCCUAGUAACGGCGAGUGAAGCGGCAUCAGCUCAAAUUUGAAAUCUGGCUCUUUCAGAGUCCGAGUUGUAAUUUGCAGAGGGCGCUUUGGCGUUGGCAGCGGUCGAGUUCCUUGGAACAGGACGUCACAGAGGGUGAGAAUCCCGUACGUGGUCGCUAGCCUUCACCGUGUAAAGCCCCUUCGACGAGUCGAGUUGUUUGGGAAUGCAGCUCUUAAUGGGAGGUAAUUUCUUCUAAAGCUAAUACUGGCCAGAGACCGAUAGCGCACCAGUGAAUGAUCGAAAAUGAAA
rnacentral:misc_RNA from 1 species